ACGAUGAACCCCGCUUGCGGGGGGAUUAGUGGCGAACGGGUGAGUAACACGUGAGUAACCUGCCCUUAACUCUGGGAUAAGCCUUGGAAACGGGGUCUAAUACUGGAUAUUGACUUUUCCUCGCAUGGGGAUUGGUUGAAAGAUUUAUUGGUUUUGGAUGGACUCGCGGCCUAUCAGCUUGUUGGUGAGGUAAUGGCUCACCAAGGCGACGACGGGUAGCCGGCCUGAGAGGGUGACCGGCCACACUGGGACUGAGACACGGCCCAGACUCCUACGGGAGGCAGCAGUGGGGAAUAUUGCACAAUGGGCGAAAGCCUGAUGCAGCGACGCCGCGUGAGGGAUGACGGCCUUCGGGUUGUAAACCUCUUUCAGUAGGGAACAAGGCCAGUGUUUAGCUGGUUGAGGGUACUUGCAGAAGAAGCGCCGGCUAACUACGUGCCAGCAGCCGCGGUAAUACGUAGGGCGCAAGCGUUAUCCGGAAUUAUUGGGCGUAAAGAGCUCGUAGGCGGUUUGUCGCGUCUGCCGUGAAAGUCCGGGGCUCAACCCCGGAUCUGCGGUGGGUACGGGCAGACUAGAGUGAUGUAGGGGAGACUGGAAUUCCUGGUGUAGCGGUGAAAUGCGCAGAUAUCAGGAGGAACACCGAUGGCGAAGGCAGGUCUCUGGGCAUUAACUGACGCUGAGGAGCGAAAGCAUGGGGAGCGAACAGGAUUAGAUACCCUGGUAGUCCAUGCCGUAAACGUUUGGGCACUAGGUGUGGGGGACAUUCCACGUUUUCCGCGCCGUAGCUAACGCAUUAAGUGCCCCGCCUGGGGAGUACGGCCGCAAGGCUAAAACUCAAAGGAAUUUGACG
rnacentral:rRNA from 1 species